rnacentral:lncRNA from 1 species
GGUAUUAUUUGCGCUAUCCUUGUUUUUUGGUUGAAUAUGUACCUGCAUGUUCGUUGGUUGAAUAGUACCUGCAUGUUCGUUGGUUAUGUACCAAGUGAUCUCAGAUGGUACACAAGUUUAUGAUUUCUGACAACCAAUUUGGUAAGAUGUAGAUCUGGAUUAUAUUUUCCCCAUUGAACAAUUUUCCAAUCCAGGAAAACAGUUAAGUUGAUAUACCCACGGGAAUAUGGUGUCGAUGGAAUAAUAACAAUCCAAGCUCAUAUUUCAGUUGACACCGAUUGAAGUAUAUAGCUCAGUUCGUGUUGCUCGAGACAUUGUUGUUGCUGUGUUGUUCCGAAGCUUUGCUUUUAAUGAUAUAUGGGAAAACUUCUGAAAACUAAUGGGAGUUGCAUGUCUACUCAUUGAAAAAUGCGAAACUCAUUCUCGGUCAUCAUUCUUUAUCGAAUAUGCUUUAAUAAUUUAACACUUUUGUCAAUUCCUAAACAUUCUAUUGCACAUGCCAUAUUGCCAGUGCAUCCGGAUGCUUCACAUUGGACAGUUGCACUUUAACUUCACAAAGGUCAUUGAAUUCGUUUAGUCUGUGGAUAAGAAGGUUCUUGGGAUCUUUAGAUGUCAUUAGCAAUAGUUUUGAUACCUAUCUCCUAUCUCUAGAUAAAUGCUAUACUUGUCGCUUGGUCCAUUAGUUUGAAUGAAUGGAUAUGCAAUAUUGCUGGUUAGCUGCUCUUUUCUGACUGAACUUGGUGGU